GGAAAAUAAUGAAAAUAGGAUUUUAACAUUAGUAAGAGCGCAAGAAGGAGCCUUUAAUUUAAAUCAGGAUUCAUGGAGAACCCUGGUGGUACAGAUGAAAUGUUUUUAUUGGGAAGGCAGGCCUAAAACCAGGCCAAGAGGACCUGUUGGGCCAGGGCCUUUUUGAAGGAGGGGAGAAGAGCUUCGCUGACUUCUGAGGAGAAGGGGAGAAGGCCCUUUGAUGGCUCUAUUGUUCCAAGCGCUGCCCUACAAAUGCCACAUGCCUCCCUGCCUCGUCCUUAAGGGCAAAGCGGGAAACUGGGUCGGCUGAGCGGAGGAGCUCGAGGUAGUGGCAGAGCUGGCACAAACCUCCCUCAGCCUCCUCUGCUGCCCCUUGGGACAGCAACGACGCGCCAUUCCCGUCGCAGGCACCGAACACACAAAGGAAGCCCCCACCCAUCCUCAGACGUGGGGACACUCUGGGGAGGAGGCUGGCGUGGACCCCGAGUCUGAGCACCUCCCUCCCCCGCGGGGAACAAUAGCCGCCGCCUCCCCCGGGCGGCCCGGCGUGGGGCGCGGCACAAAGGCCGUCUCGGGGCCGCGCCACCAUGUGACGCGCGCGCUCGCCCCGCGCUCCCCGGGCGGGCGGCAGGACGCAGUCCGCGGAGCGCGGGAGCCGCGGGGCUGCGGCGGGGCUGCCCGAAUCCACCUGGCACACUUUCGGCGAGACAAACGCGGUUCCUCCUACUUCAGAGCAAGUCUGGGCCAGCUGGGAGCCGACCAGAAACCGCAGGCAGAGGAGACGCAGGCACGCGGGUGAGCGCUCACGGAGGGUGCGAUCCGCCGCCCCACGCCGGUCACCCCCUCUCUCCCGGUCCCCACUGCCGCCUGCCGACCCCUUACGGCCCACGGCCCUCCCAAGAGGCGGGCCCCAGCGCCCGUCCCCGAAGCACAGUGACUCGGUGUCCCCCCGCGCUCCCCCCCCCACCUCCUGCUUCCUCCCUCCCCGGUCACACCCUCAACGCUACUCUACGCCCAGAAAGGGACACUCCAUCUCUCCCAAGGCGGAACAAGAAAAAUUCCAAUGGAUCAGAAGGUUUUUGCAGACACUAUUUAAGAAUUUAAAAAAGAUUCCCAAGGGACUAGAAUUCAGGGAAGAGGCGGAGCUAGUUUCGUUCUCUUAUUUACCUGCCGGAGUAAUUUUUGUGGGAGGAAGCAGGAUAACACCCCUGUUGAACUUGAAUCUAAACUUGAAUGCCAUAUAAAAAGAACAAUAAAAAUACACUUAAAAUACCAACCACAAUGAUAUGCCUCUCCUUUCUUCUCUGGUGUGAGGGAAGGACUGUAAUAUUUUUACAUCAGCUCUUUUGGGGUUCCUUUUAGAAAUACCAUAAAGGGAUAGACUAAGGGACAGACUGAAAAGCGCGCAGCGCGGUGUGAGGGGGUCAUUAGCAUUAGAGCUGUUUAGCUCAGGAGAGCUUGGGUAAGUGGGUGGUGAAGCAUUCUUAUAACCCUUCUUGAGUGGUACUUGUAGUCCUCUUAGUAAAUUCUAAGAAAGUUCCAGGCUAACCCCUCUUUUACUCUUUUUCCAAGUGACAUCAGCUGAGAAGUUUCUGGAGUUAGUUAAGUGUUGCCUCGGCCUAUAGGAAAGAGCCCCUAAAAGACAGAAAAUCCCAGCUGCCCCCUCCCCCUUCUCUUUCAGCAUCCUCUUGGGUGAAAAUUAACUUGCUUUGAAGAGAUGUUCUACUAUCAUUUUGCUUUAGAUAGAUUAUAACCUGAAGCAUUAAGCCUUGCACAGUGUUCUGAACUCAUUAAGCAAUUAAAAUACUGGUCCUGUUGUCCUUGGCUCAGAGUGUGUCCCUCUCUCCUUGCCUUUCAGCAAUACCUACUGAACAGCUCCUGUGGGCACUGUGCUGGGCUCUGAGAUAUAAAAAUGAGUCACUAAUAGUGUGUGCCUUUUCAUCUGCUGGGGGAGAAAAAGAAUCCUAAAACUGUGUGACAGAUGCUAGAACACAGGUGUGGCCAUAAUGUUCCUGGAAUAAAGAGAAGGAGCCACUAACACUACUGUAGGGUCAAAAACAAGGCUUCUCAGGGGAGGUGAAUUUGGGUUCCUGAAGUAUGAGUUUUUUAGGAAGGAAGGAGGGACAUACCAGGCAGAAAGGGCAGCACAUGCGAAGCAAGGAGGGAAGAAAGAGCAAGGUCUGGACCUGGAACAAGAAUCCUUUGGAGUAGAACGUCUGGCUGGAAAGAGAGGUUGUAUGGGGUACAUGGAAAGGAGCCUGGACCUAAGCUGUAGGCAGUGGGAAGCCACUGGGACGUGAGGUUAUGUAUUUGGAAAGCUUGCUUUUUGCGAUACUGUGACUGACUGGAGAAAGCAGAGAUAGGAGGCAAGAAGGAAAAAAAGGAGGCUGUUGCAAUAAUCCAGCACAGAGCGGAACUAAGGUAAUGACAAUGAAGAGGAAAGACAUUUAGGAGGACAAAUUCACAGGACUUGGUGAUAACUGGUUGAAUGAAAGAGGAGUU
rnacentral:lncRNA from 1 species